rnacentral:rRNA from 1 species
GUGACAGCAGCCGCGGUAAAACGUAGGAGCCAAGCGUUAUCCGAAUUCACUGGGCGUAAAGCGCAAGUAGGCGGCAGAGUAAGUUGAUUGUGAAAGCUCCCGGCUCAACUGGGAGAGGCCGGUCAAAACUACUCAGCUCGAGGACGGUAGAGGAAGGCGGAAUUCCCGGUGUAGUGGUGAAAUGCGUAGAUAUCGGGAGGAACACCUGUGGCGAAGGCGGCUUUCUGGGCCGUUACUGACGCUGAGAUGCGAAAGCUAGGGGAGCAAACGGGAUUAGAAACCCUUGUAGUCC